AUUGAACGCUGGCGGCAGGCUUAACACAUGCAAGUCGAGCGAGCGGCGGACGGGUGAGUAAUGUCUGGGAAACUGCCUGAUGGAGGGGGAUAACUACUGGAAACGGUAGCUAAUACCGCAUACCAUCAGAUGUGCCCAGAUUGGAUUAGCUAGUGGGUGGGGUAAUGGCUCACCUAGGCGACGAUCCCUAGCUGGUCUGAGAGGAUGACCAGCAACAUUGGAACUGAGACACGGCCCAGACUCCUACGGGAGGCAGCAGUAGGGAAUAUUGCACAAUGGGCGAAAGCCUGAUGCAGCAAUGCCGCGUGUGUGAAGAAGGCUUUCGGGUUGUAAAGCACUUUCAGCAGGGAGGCGGUACUCGAAGAAGAAGAACCGGCUAACUCCGUGCCAGCAGCCGCGGUAAUUC
rnacentral:rRNA from 1 species